UUUUGUUCUUUCGCUUUUUGUAAUAAGUCAUGCUGUUGCUCACUGGGUCCACACUGCUCUUGUGAGCUGUAACACUCACCGCAAAAGUCUGCAGCUUGACUCCUGAGCCAGCGAGACCAGGAGCCCACCAGAAGGAAGAAACUCCGAACACAUCUGAAUAUCUUCUGGAAGGAACAAACUCCGGACACGCUACCUUUAAAAACUGUAAUACUCACCGCAAGGGUCUGCGGUUUCAUUCAUGAAGUCAGUGAGACCAAGAACUCACCAAUUCCGGACACAGUGGGAGCAAAGGCAUGGCAGGAGGAGAAAACUGCGUGUGUGAGGAAUAAAAACAACAUGUUGCAAUUGAGGAAGGCGUGAAUUUAUGGGGAGAAUACAGAGAUGAAGACUUAAAACGGGGAAACACUGAGGAAGGGACAGCAUAGCCUGCCUGAUGGACCAUAAAAAAAUGGAAGGCCAAGGAGAUGAAAUGGAAGACUUUGGACAGAACUUCUGGGAAAGCUCUUUAAAGCAGUCUACUAGACUGGCAAGCAGACAUUCAUUCUCCUCUUCUGACUUAGACAUGGUAUUUUUAGCUCCAGCAGCCGUCCUGUGAAGAUGGGAGCACACGCUAAGGGCAGCAGAAAAGAAAGCCAGAAGAAAUAUCUCUCUCCAUCUUCAGUGCUGCUUAAGGUUUCUGGAGACUUACCUGGGUAGCCAAGGCUGGGAGAGUGAGGAAUAGCUCUAUUAUCUGCUAAGGAGAUUUGUAAUCAGCCCCUUCAUGUUUUCAGAAAUCCAGACAGAGCCCUAGAGACAGACUGGGGAAGGGAAUGCAGUUGGGGCUCUAGAUUCAUGUAUUUGUAGGGAGAUUUCUAAAUAUUGUGUGUCUACUGUAUGCCAGGCAGUGUCUAGGCACUGGGGUGCAGCAAUGAAUGAAAGAUAAGAUCCCUGCCCUCAUGGAGUUUGCACUCUACUGGGGCCUCUGGAAGGAAGCUGAGCUGUGUUACAGAAUCACCCCAGUUGAGGUGACUGUGCAGGUGAAUAUGGAGACAAAAUCUACUCUCUGAUCUCAGCCAGUGAGGGUGCUACAGCCUGCCAUAGAGCCCUGCACUCUUUCAGAGAGGGUUUCUCUCCCAGGCCAGCUGUCACUCUAAUCUGCCCUCCCCACUGUGAUCCCAGCUGGACACAUGGCUCACUGGUUUUUCUGUUACUUUGUAAGUGCAGAUAAGAACUCUAUCCCUCACACUUCGGGGACAGAACAGAGUAAGCUGGGGUACACUGAGCUUGGAGAAGGGGAAGUACAGAUACUUGCUUCUGGAAUCCAGCGGCCAUGUUGUGAGGAAGCCCAAACUAGCCCAUGCCAAGACACCACAUGGCGAGGCCACAUGCAGAUCAGAGUCCCAGCCAGCAGUUAGCAUCGACCAGACAUGUAAGUGAGAACAUCACUCAGUAAUUGCAGCCCCAGCCCCUGAGUCAUCCUCAGCCUUUGAAC
rnacentral:lncRNA from 1 species